UCCCAGACUCCUACGGGAGGCAGCAGUAGGGAAUAUUGCACAAUGGGGGAAACCCUGAUGCAGCGACGCCGCGUGAGUGAAGAAGUAUCUCGGUACGUAAAGCUCUAUCAGCAGGGAAGAAAAUGACGGUACCUGACUAAGAAGCCCCGGCUAACUACGUGCCAGCAGCCGCGGUAAUACGUAGGGGGCAAGCGUUAUCCGGAUUUACUGGGUGUAAAGGGAGCGUAGACGGUGAAGCAAGUCUGAAGUGAAAGGCGGGGGCUCAACCCCCGGACUGCUUUGGAAACUGUUUGACUGGAGUGCAGGAGAGGUAAGUGGAAUUCCUAGUGUAGCGGUGAAAUGCGUAGAUAUUAGGAGGAACACCAGUGGCGAAGGCGGCUUACUGGACUGUAACUGACGUUGAGGCUCGAAAGCGUGGGGAGCAAACAGGAUUAGAUACCCUCGUAGC
rnacentral:rRNA from 1 species